rnacentral:rRNA from 1 species
GACGAACGCUGGCGGCGUGCUUAACACAUGCAAGUCGAACGGUAAGGCCCUUUCGGGGGUACACGAGUGGCGAACGGGUGAGUAACACGUGGGUGAUCUGCCCUGCACUUUGGGAUAAGCCUGGGAAACUGGGUCUAAUACCGGAAAGGACUACGCGAUGCAUGUCGUGUGGUGGAAAGCUUUUGCGGUGUGGGAUGGGCCCGCGGCCUAUCAGCUUGUUGGUGGGGUGAUGGCCUACCAAGGCGACGACGGGUAGCCGGCCUGAGAGGGUGUCCGGCCACACUGGGACUGAGAUACGGCCCAGACUCCUACGGGAGGCAGCAGUGGGGAAUAUUGCACAAUGGGCGCAAGCCUGAUGCAGCGACGCCGCGUGGGGGAUGACGGCCUUCGGGUUGUAAACCCCUUUCAGCACAGACGAAGCGUAAGUGACGGUAUGUGCAGAAGAAGCACCGGCCAACUACGUG